rnacentral:tRNA from 1 species
AGAAUUUUAGGUUAAUUAAACUUUUGGCCUUCAAAGCCGACAAUGAAAAAUUUCUUUUCAAAUUCUG